UGGGGGAUAUUGCACAAUGGGCGAAAGCCUGAUGCAGCGACGCCGCGUGGGGGAUGAAGGCCUUCGGGUUGUAAACUUCUUUUGCUCUGAACAAGGCAUGCUAAUGGGUGUGUUGAGUGUAGGGGUUGAUUAGCGCCGGCUAACUACGUGCCAGCAGCCGCGGUAAUACGUAGGGCGCGAGCGUUGUCCGGAAUUAUUGGGCGUACAGGGCUUGUAGGUGGCUGGUUGCGUCUGUCGUGAAAGCUCAUGGCUUAACUGUGGGUUUGCGGUGGGUACGGGCUGGCUUGAGUGCAGUAGGGGAGGCUGGAAUUCCUGGUGUAGCGGUGGAAUGCGCAGAUAUCAGGAGGAAUACCGGUGGCGAAGGCGGGUCUCUGGGCUGUUACUGACACUGAGGAGCGAAAGCAUGGGGAGCGAACAGA
rnacentral:rRNA from 1 species